GUCCACGCCGUAAACGAUGGAUACUAGCUGUUGGGAGCAAUUUCAGUGGCUAAGCGAAAGUGAUAAGUAUCCCACCUGGGGAGUACGUUCGCAAGAAUGAAACUCAAAGGAAUUGACGGGGCCCGCACAAGCGGUGGAGCAUGUGGUUUAAUUAGAUGAUACGCGAGGAACCUUACCAAGGCUUAAAUGUAGAUUGACCGGUUUUGGAAACAGACUUUUCGCAAGACAAUUUACAAGGUGCUGCAUGGUUGUCGU
rnacentral:rRNA from 1 species